GACGAACGCUGGCGGCGUGCCUAAUACAUGCAAGUAGGACGCAGUUGUGAACGGGUGAGUAACGCGUAGGUAACUACCUAUCAGAGGGGGAUAACUACUGGAAACGAUAGCUAAUACCGCAUACUAGUAGAUGGACCUGCGUUGUAUUAGCUAGUAGGUAGGGUAAUGGCCUACCUAGGCAACGAUACAUAGCCGACCUGGGAGGGUGAGCGGCCAACAUGGGACUGAGACACGGCCCAGACUCCUACGGGAGGGAACAGUAGGGAAUCUUCGGCAAUGGGGGGAACCCUGGACGAGCAACGCCGCGUGAGUGAAGAAGGGUUUCGGAUCGUAAAACUCUGUUGUUAAGGAAGCGGUACUUAACCAGAAAGGAACGGCUAACUACGUGCCAGCAGCCGCGGUAAUUC
rnacentral:rRNA from 1 species